GUGGGGAAUAUUGGACAAUGGGCGAAAGCCUGAUCCAGCAAUGCCGCGUGCAGGAAGACGGCCCUCUGGGUUGUAAACUGCUUUUAUCUGGGAAGAAAAAGGCCAUGCGUGGCAAAUUGCCGGUACCAGAUGAAUAAGCACCGGCUAACUCCGUGCCAGCAGCCGCGGUAAUACGGAGGGUGCGAGCGUUGUCCGGAUUUAUUGGGUUUAAAGGGUGCGUAGGCGGCUGAUUAAGUCAGCGGUGAAAGACUUCGGCUUAACCGGAGCAGUGCCGUUGAUACUGGUUGGCUUGAGUGUCGGAGGGGUACAUGGAAUUGAUGGUGUAGCGGUGAAAUGCAUAGAUACCAUCAGGAACACCGAUAGCGAAGGCAUUGUACUGGCCGACAACUGACGCUGAUGCACGAAAGUGUGGGGAUCGAACAGGAUUAGAAACCCGGGUAGUCC
rnacentral:rRNA from 1 species